rnacentral:lncRNA from 1 species
UCUUGCUUCCCAGCACAUGGUCAUCUUGCUGAGACACCUUUUUGCUGAACGGAGCUUUGGUGAAAACAUCGAAGUCAUCCUGCUCUUGGCUCAGGCUAGGAAAUGCAGUCUGAGAAGAGACGUCUUGGUUGCCCUUCUCUCUUGCCUGAGGCUGAAGAGAAAAAAAGGGCACUGCCCCAAAUACAUCAAAUUCCUGGCCAGGGCUCACUUUGACAACAGUAGUUGGCACCUCAGGUGUUUGCAUUAAACUGCGUUCUUUAACUUCACUGCUACCCAUAACAUUUCUGAAUCUACUGCUUGGGAGCCCUUCCACAAAUUUUUGUUUGGUACGAUCAGAUUCAGAGUCAGAACUUUGCUUCUCCUCCUCCUCUUCUUCCAGCUCUUCCUCAGAGUCCAUGAGCAGAGGGCGGUGGCCUAAAUUCUCCGGUUCCGUAUCAUUGUCAUCAUUGAAGUCUCCAUUCUCACCUUGCAAGACCUCCUCAUCCUCUUGCUCUUCUUCCUCCUCACUACUCUUAGGAGAGGGAGGAUCUGAUUCAAAAUCGCUCUCUGACUCAUCACCACCUUUCGUCACUUGUCCCUCUGCAGUCUUCCUUCCUGGCCGAGGAUCUUUAAAAGCAUGACUCAGUCUUCCAGCUUUGGUAGGGGUCCCUAAGUUGUUUCCUUGAUUGCUGGCUGAGUUCUCCACUUGUUUUCCAGGGGAAUCUGGGUGAGAAAUGAAAGGAACAGAACCAAAGGGAUCUUCGGGAGGACUUUUCUGUGGAGCAGAAUGUAGCUCCACAUUCUUAUCUGAAGUUGUUCUCCUGUCCACCAGCCUGUUUGAUCUUAGCAGGUCAAAUUCUCUGUCCA